CCUCCCUCUCUCUCUCUCUCUCUUUUUCCUUUUACUCUUUCUUCGGUUACCAACUCGACGCUGUACACGCCAAGUCCCACCAUCGCCUGCAUCCAUCCAUCUCUCUCAAAACCCACAGCACAAAUCUCCCACUCUCUCUCUCUCUAAAGAUGGGCCAUUCAUGGAGCUCUAGAAGACGACACAACCGCCAAAACCAUCGUCACCACCAUCAAAUCCAAUCUCUCCCUCAACCCCCUCCCCCUCCUCCUGUUACUUUCCCUCCUCCACCACCGCCGCCACCGCCGCCAAGCUAUGCCUUCGCCGCCAACUCCCCUUAUCCUAUGCUCCCCGCUCCGUCCCCCCCUUCUCAUCACCCCCAUCACUCCAGCGCCUACAAUUACGCCAGACCCAUGAUGGCUCAGUCCAGUUAUCACCCCUCUUACAUCAAUCACACUAAUGCCUGGCCAGGAUUUCGGCCUCCUCCUCCGCCGCCGCCGUAUGUGGAUCAUCAGAGCGCCAAGAAGAUCAAGAACGAUGUGAAUAUUCACAAGGAUACUAUUAGGAUUGAAGUGGACGAGUUUAACCCUGAAUACCACUUGGUUUCUUUCACUUUUGAUGCUAUGGUUGAUGGCUGUAUCACCAUUUUUUACUUCAGCAAAGAAGGGGCCAACUGUACCUUCACUCCAGUAUACCCAGAGAUCCAUAUGCCUGUGAGUAUUCCUUUUCAGAAAGGACUGAGGCAGAAAUUUUGUCAGUCGUCGGGAACUGGCAUUGACUUGGGCUUUUUUGACAUAAUUGACCUAUCGAAGCCUUUACGAGGAGAAGAUGUUUUCCCACUUGUUAUAUCAGCAGAAUCAAUUUUACCAUCUCUGGCAAAGGACGCGCAGCUUGAUGAGUCAACAGUGACUAUAGCUCCAAAUGCACAGAUUACUCAAGCUGUCUUGGAGAAGAAUGACGAGAGCCAUUUUCAAGUAAAAGUAAUCAAGCAGAUUCUGUGGGUUGAUGCUGUUCGCUAUGAGUUACGUGAGAUUUAUGGAAUCAGCAGUUCAAAUGACGUGACCAUCAAUGACAAUGAUUCGGGAAAGGAAUGUGUGAUUUGCAUGACUGACCCGAAGGAUACUGCCAUUUUGCCAUGUAGACAUAUGUGCAUGUGCAGCGAGUGUGCCAAAGCAUUGAGACUUCAAUCCGAUAAGUGUCCAAUAUGUCGCCAGCCUAUUGAAGAACUCAUAGAGAUUAAGGUUGAUGAAGUACAAUCAUGACCUUGGGGUUUAUCAGGACAAAAAGCACCUGUACAGAGGAAGAAAUAAGAAGACAUACAGCAUUGUUUGAGGAAUUUGAUCGCCAAACAGAGAAGCAAUUCAGCUGAUGGUCUGAAGUGACAUUUGUCAAAUAUAUGAAUAUAUGAUGAAUACUUCCCCUCCCCCAUCCUCUUUUUUAAUUCAUUUUCUUAUUUUGAUAAAAAAAAAUAUGUCUUCUGUGAAAGUAGGGUAUAUGUGAAAACUAUAACAUGAAAACAAAAAGUUGGGAAUAUUGCCCUAGAACUAGUAGAGUGAGAAUGUGAACUUGAGGAGGGGAGGGAAUCAUAGAAUGAGUGAGUGAGUUUUACUUGUAAUUGGGGAACAUAAAUGGAAUUGGGGACAAUAAGAGAUAAGUGAAAAAAAUUUAGCUUUUUAUGUCUGCCACUUUUUUUUUUUCCCUUUUCCUUUAUCUUCAUAAAUCUCUAUUGAAAUUCAUGAUCCAAACACAGCCAAAAGGAAAUAUGGAUCUUUGUUGUAUUCUUUACAGUUGAGAGGUAUUGUCUUUUAACCAUCCUUGCCAGCUGA